rnacentral:rRNA from 1 species
AGAGUUUGAUCAUGGCUCAGGACGAACGCUGGCGGCGUGCCUAAUGCAUGCAAGUCGAGCGACGCAUACUGGAGGGGUAACCCACCGGUAUGACGGAGCGGCGAACGGGUGAGUAACACGUGAGUAACCUACCCCGAAGACCGGGAUAACCCAGGGAAACCUGGGCUAAUACCGGAUACUCUCGGACCUUCGCAUGGAGGACCGAGGAAAGCUUUAGCGCUUCGGGAUGGGCUCGCGGCCUAUCAGCUAGUUGGUGGGGUAACGGCCCACCAAGGCUUUGACGGGUAGCUGGUCUGAGAGGACGAUCAGCCACACUGGGACUGAGACACGGCCCAGACUCCUACGGGAGGCAGCAGCAGGGAAUCUUGCGCAAUGGGCGAAAGCCUGACGCAGCAACGCCGCGUGGGGGAUGAAGGCCUUCGGGUUGUAAACCCCUUUCAGGAGGGAAGAAAAUGACGGUACCUCCAGAAGAAGCCCCGGCCAACUACGUGCCAGCAGCCGCGGUAAUACGUAGGGGGCGAGCGUUGUCCGGAAUUAUUGGGCGUAAAGAGCUCGUAGGCGGCUCAGCAAGUCGGCUGUGAAAUCCCGAGGCUCAACCUCGGAACUGCAGUCGAUACUGCUGUGGCUAGAGUCUGGUAGAGGAGAGUGGAAUUCCCGGUGUAGCGGUGAAAUGCGCAGAUAUCGGGAGGAACACCAGUAGCGAAGGCGGCUCUCUGGGCCAGUACUGACGCUGAGGAGCGAAAGCGUGGGGGAGCAAACAGGAUUAGAUACCCUGGUAGUCCACGCCGUAAACGUUGGGUACUAGGUGUGGCGUCUCGAUCAACGGAUGCCGUGCCGAAGCUAACGCAUUAAGUACCCCGCCUGGGGAGUACGGCCGCAAGGCUGAAACUCAAAUGAAUUGACGG